rnacentral:rRNA from 1 species
UCCUACGGGAGGCAGCAGUGGGGAAUAUUGCACAAUGGGCGCAAGCCUGAUGCAGCAACGCCGCGUGAGGGACGAAGGCCUUCGGGUUGUAAACCUCUUUUAGUAGGGAAGAAGCGACUGGGUUUUCCUGGGAGUGACGGUACCUGCAGAAAAAGCACCGGCUAACUACGUGCCAGCAGCCGCGGUAAUACGUAGGGUGCAAGCGUUGUCCGGAAUUAUUGGGCGUAAAGAGCUCGUAGGCGGUUUGUCGCGUCUGCUGUGAAAACCCGAGGCUCAACCUCGGGCCUGCAGUGGGUACGGGCAGACUAGAGUGCGGUAGGGGAGAUUGGAAUUCCUGGUGUAGCGGUGGAAUGCGCAGAUAUCAGGAGGAACACCAAUGGCGAAGGCAGAUCUCUGGGCCGUAACUGACGCUGAGGAGCGAAAGCAUGGGGAGCGAACAGGAUUAGAUACCCUGGUAGUCCAUGCCGUAAACGUUGGGAACUAGAUGUGGGGACCAUUCCACGGUCUCCGUGUCGCAGCUAACGCAUUAAGUUCCCCGCCUGGGGAGUACGGCCGCAAGGCUAAAACUCAAAGGAAUUGACGGGGGCCCGCACAAGCGGCGGAGCAUGCGGAUUAAUUCGAUGCAACGCGAAGAACCUUACCAAGGCUUGAUAUAUACCGGAAACGGCUGGAAACAGUCGCCCCGCAAGGUCGGUAUACAGGUGGUGCAUGGUUGUCGUCAGCUCGUGACGUGAGAUGUUGGGUUAAGUCCCGCAACGAGCGCAACCCUCGUCCUAUGUUGCCAGCACGUAAUGGUGGGAACUCAUGGGAUACUGCCGGGGUCAACUCGGAGGAAGGUGGGGAUGACGUCAAAUCAUCAUGCCCCUUAUGUCUUGGGCUUCACGCAUGCUACAAUGGCCGGUACAAAGGGCUGCGAUACCGCAAGGUGGGAGCGAAUCCCAAAAAGCCGGUCUCAGUUCGGAUUGAGGUCUGCAACUCGACCUCAUGAAGUGGGAGUCGCUAGUAAUCGCAGAUCAGCAACGCUGCGGUGAAUACGUUCCCGGCCCUUGUACACACCGCC